AAUUUNCUUGUGGAAGCAGAAGUUGUAACUUGCUGCUAGAGCCUUCUGAUGUUUAUCAGCAGAAGACCUUUGAGCAAAAAGCAGCGAAAGGCAAGUGCUGAAGCCUUGGGGAUGCCGAAGUCCCUCAACAGUCUACUUUGUGAGGAUCAGAUCGGAUAAGCGGAAGGAGAAAAUCUCAUCUCUAACUACAGCAAUGGUUUUCAAAUCAUGUGAUGCAAGUCAAAACGUUUCUCGGGAUGGAACAGGUUUCUGCAUCCUUAAUGAGAUACUCAUUGGUGCUGCAGUCAUCGUUGCUGUACUGUUGCUGAUUAUUCUUGUCCUCUCCAUAUGCCUCUGCAGAGUCUGCAGAAAACGAAAGAAGAAAAAGUUGAAUGAGGGCACGGCGGAGGUCCCUGAAGAAACCAAUUUACAUUAUGCUGAAUUGAAGAACCUCCCUGAUUCUAGCAGGGGGCAGUGUGAUGGAGGAACGUGUCCCCCUCCUCCUGUACCUAUUAGCAGUGAGUAUGCUACAAUUAAAGAGUUAACCGAAUCCACCUGUGAGGAAAACCACUACGAUGAUCAGCAAAAUGAGGAAGAUGGAGAGAGCAACGAGCAGUACUGCGAGGAAACAGAGUGAUGUGGUGGACUGGACAGGGGGGAAAGAAAGCGCAACAAAAGUCCCGAAUUUGAUGGGNAGCUAUCACAUUGAAAUUCUCUCCCUUACAGAAGCCAUAUUCCACAACUGGACUGCUUCAUGCAGAUACUGUGUUACGUGCCUUUGUCUUCAUUUUCUGCAUAAUAUAGUUGACUUUCACACUUUGCCUGUCAAACACGUUCCAUUUGAGUUUGUCUGUAAGGAAAUGGUAGGUGAGGGAAGAAGAGAGGUUGAUAUGAGUGUAGACUUGAAGGUUUGGCCUCAAGUCCCUCGCUCACAAAGCUGCCUGGGUUUUGAAUAAAUAAUUUACCUCAGCCUAAAGAAAGUUAUGG
rnacentral:lncRNA from 1 species